UCGCAAUGAUGAAGUUGAUUCCUUGCCAUUCGUAGUUUCCACCAGAGGUUUAAAAAACCAAAGAUGGCCCAAGCACCUUCCUUGGAUGUCUGAGCGA
ensembl:snoRNA SNORD14 Small nucleolar RNA SNORD14